UUACCAAGGCUUGACAUAUAGAGGAAACGUCUGGAAACAAGUCGCCCCGCCAAGGUCUCUAUACAGGUGGUGCAUGGUUGUCGUCAGCUCGUGUCGUGAGAUGUUGGGUUAAGUCCCGCAACGAGCGCAACCCUCGUCUAUGUUGCCAGCACGUAAUGGUGGGAACUCAUGGGAUACUGCCGGGGUCAACUCGGAGGAAGGUGGGGAUGACGUCAAAUCAUCAUGCCCCUUAUGUCUUGGGCUUCACGCAUGCUACAAUGGCCGGUACAAAGGGCUGCAAUACCGUAAGGUGGAGCGAAUCCCAAAAAGCCGGUCCCAGUUCGGAUUGAGGUCUGCAACUCGACCUCAUGAAGUCGGAGUCGCUAGUAAUCGCAGACCAGCAACGCUGCGGUGAAUACGUUCCCGGGUCUU
rnacentral:rRNA from 1 species